GCUGUCACUUACAGAUGGGCCCGCGGCGCAUUAGCUAGUUGGUGAGGUAACGGCUCACCAAGGCCACGAUGCGUAGCCGACCUGAGAGGGUGAUCGGCCACACUGGGACUGAGACACGGCCCAGACUCCUACGGGAGGCAGCAGUAGGGAAUCUUCCGCAAUGGACGAAAGUCUGACGGAGCAACGCCGCGUGAGUGAUGAAGGUUUUCGGAUCGUAAAACUCUGUUGUUAGGGAAGAACAAGUAUCGGAGUAACUGCCGGUACCUUGACGGUACCUAACCAGAAAGCCACGGCUAACUACGUGCCAGCAGCCGCGGUAAUACGUAGGUGGCAAGCGUUGUCCGGAAUUAUUGGGCGUAAAGCGCGCGCAGGUGGUUCCUUAAGUCUGAUGUGAAAGCCCACGGCUCAACCGUGGAGGGUCAUUGGAAACUGGGGAACUUGAGUGCAGAAGAGGAAAGUGGAAUUCCAAGUGUAGCGGUGAAAUGCGUAGAGAUUUGGAGGAACACCAGUGGCGAAGGCGACUUUCUGGUCUGUAACUGACACUGAGGCGCGAAAGCGUGGGGAGCGAACAGGAUUAGAUACCCUGGUAGUCCACGCCGUAAACGAUGAGUGCUAAGUGUUAGAGGGU
rnacentral:rRNA from 2 species